rnacentral:rRNA from 1 species
GUGCAUGGCCGUUCUUAGUUYGUGGAGUGAUCUGUCUGCUUAAUUGCGUUUCAAAACAACUGAUACACAGAGUCUUGGCACAGUUCAGUUUAAUGGCGUCGAGUAUCUUUGAUUUCGACAGUAGUCCAACUCGGUUCGCCAGGGUCUCUUUUGAACGCAACGGACGUGAUCGCAACCCUUUGUUGAGUGAUGUCAGCACUCUACGUCUAUCCUAGCUCGUUGAUCGCAAGUGAGAGUUGGGUGGGCAAACUCAGGGGACAGCUUCAACUAUUCUUCUUCAAACUAGAGGAAGGUUGCGGCAAUAACAGGUCUGUGAUGCCCUCAGAUGUUCUAGGCUGCACACGUGCUACAUUGAUCAGCACAAUGCGAUACAUUUCGAAAGGAAACAUCGGUUUUAAGGUAACGUCGAUUGCCUACCGAUAGCACCUGGUCCCCAGUGGACUGGGCAAUCUCUUCUAAAUGCUGGUAAGGUACCCACACUCGAGCUAUUUAAUCACACGCGGGAGGCACACACGGUUCAAAUCUCAUUUGCGACUGUUGCCGCCAUGACGUAUGCAACUUGUCAAUUCUUCGUGGGGAUCGUCGAUUGCAACUAUUCGACUCGCCACAACUAGGAAUGCC